GACACACUCAGGUAACUCAGACACACUCAGGUAAACUCAGACACACUCAGGUAAACUCAGACACACUCAGGUAAACUCAGGUAACUCAGACACACUCAGAC